AAAAUGUAAAACACUCAUUGAGAACGGGUACUUGCCUGACGAUAAAUAUCGAAAAGCUCUUCUGUGUAGCGAAAACAUUCAUCUCCCCAUAUGGACAUGGCGUUGGCUGGAUCGCUGCCAUUGUACAUUUUACAAUUAGCAAAGAUUCGAAGAACUUCUCGAUACAAUUCAUCCACUUCCGUGAUGUUACCCUCUUUGAUCAUAUUCUUCAAUGUUCGUAAGUCUUGAGGUUUAUAAACUAAAGAAUCGUAAUCUGGUGCCUCUUUACGAUUUACAGGAUGACUAAAAGGUGCUCCAAACCUGUGAUUAGAAAUAUUGUCGAGCAUAGGAAGCAUUGCACUUUGGAACUUUUUCAAAG